rnacentral:rRNA from 1 species
GACGAACGCUGGCGGCGUGCUUAACACAUGCAAGUCGAACGGAAAGGCCCUGCUUGCGGGGUACUCGAGUGGCGAACGGGCGAGUAACACAUGGGUGAUUUGCCCUGCACUUCGGGAUAAGCCUGGGCGACUGGGUGUAAUACCGGCCAGAAGCCAUAUUUAGUGUGAUGGUUGGAUAGUUUUUUCGGUGUAGGAUGAGUUCGCUGCCUAUCUGCUUGCUGGUGGGGUAAUGGCCUACCAAGGCGGCGGCGGGUAGCCGGCCUGAGUGGGUGGACGGCCACCUUGGGACUGAGGGACGGCCCAGGUACCUACGCGAGGCAGAAGUGGGGAAGAUUGCACAAUGGGCGCAAGCCUGAUGCAGCGACGCCUCGUAGCGGAUGACGCCGUUCGGGUUGAAGACUACUUUCGCAAGGGACUAAGCUUUUUGUGACGGUACCUAGACAAGAAGCACCGGCUAACUACGUG